UACGGGGGAGGUAAGCGUUGUUCGGAAUUACUGGGCGUAAAGCGCACGUAGGCGGAUAUUUAAGUCAGGGGUGAAAUCCCAGAGCUCAACUCUGGAACUGCCUUUGAUACUGGGUAUCUUGAGUAUGGAAGAGGUAAGUGGAAUUGCGAGUGUAGAGGUGAAAUUCGUAGAUAUUCGCAGGAACACCAGUGGCGAAGGCGGCUUACUGGUCCAUAACUGACGCUGAGGUGCGAAAGCGUGGGGAGCAAACAGGG
rnacentral:rRNA from 1 species